GGAGGGGUGGCAGAGCGGUUGAAUGCGGCGGUCUUGAAAACCGUUGUGGGGAGACCUACCCAGGGUUCGAAUCCCUGCCCCUCCG
rnacentral:tRNA from 1 species